rnacentral:misc_RNA from 1 species
AUUGCGGAAUUCAGUGAGUCAUCAAAAUUUUGAACGCAUAUUGCACUUCCGGGUUAGUCCUGGGAGUAUGUUUGUAUCAGUGUCCGUGAACACAAACUUGUUUCAUUUCUUGAUGGAAUGAAGCAGACUGUGAAGGUCUUGUGAAUACAAGUCCUUCUAAACGAUGGUACCUAUGCGUCCUCGUGAGAUGUAUUAUUUAAAGGUAUGCCUGCGCUCCUUUCGAGAGUCUUGUGUGGCGACACACAGGUUCAAAGAGAGAGCAAAUCGCGGUAGUUUUGCUUGUACUUCGGUAUGAGUGGGCAUAUAUUGCUUUUUGUGAUUUCAGCGAGUCUGUUGUUUAAGCACAGGGCGCGUAAGGGGAGUAGGUAUGCUGGUGCAUUUCUUGGCGUGUGGAGGCAAAUUGGGAAUUCAAUCCAAUUUGGACCUGAUAUCAAACAAGACUACCCGCUGAACUUAAGCAUAUCAUUAAGCGGAGGAAAAGAAACUAACAAGGAUUCCCCCAGUAACGGCGAGUGAAGCGGGAAGAGCUCAAGCUUAAAAUCUCCAUACUUGUAUGGCGAAUUGUAGUCUAUUGAGGCUGUUGUCAGCAUCGCGAUUGGGGACAAGUCCCUUGGAAAAGGGCAGCAUAGAGGGUGAUACUCCCGUCUCUGCUCCAAUCUGCGGUGUGUACGAUACGCUUUCUUUGAGUCGAGUUGUUUGGGAAUACAGCUCAAAGUAGGUGGUAAAUUCCAUCUAAAGCUAAAUAUUGGUGCGAGACCGAUAGCGAACAAGU